AGAGUUUGAUCAUGGCUCAGGACGAACGCUGACGGUGUGCUUUAGACAUGCAAGUCGAACGCGAAAACCCUUCGGGGUGAGUAGAGUGGCGAACGGGUGAGUAACACGUGGGUAACCUACCCCUCGCAGGGGGACAACCGGGGGAAACCCCGGCUAAUACCCCAUACGCUUGCCGGCCCGCAUGGGUUGGCAAGGAAAGGUAGCUUCGGCUAUCCGGCGAGGGAUGGGCCCGCGGUGCAUUAGCUAGUUGGUGGGGUAACGGCCUACCAAGGCGACGAUGCAUAGCUGGUCUGAGAGGAUGAUCAGCCACACUGGGACUGAGACACGGCCCAGACUCCUACGGGAGGCAGCAGUCGGGAAUCUUGCGCAAUGGGCGAAAGCCUGACGCAGCAACACCGUGUGAGCGACGAAGGCCUUCGGGUCGUAAAGCUCUGUUGUUGGGGACGAAGGGUUAAUAGCCCCUAGUCUGACGGUACCCUUCGAGGAAGCCCCGGCUAACUACGUGCCAGCAGCCGCGGUAAUACGUAGGGGGCGAGCGUUGUCCGGAAUUAUUGGGCGUAAAGAGCGUGUAGGCGGUUCGGUAAGUCUGCUGUGAAAUCCUGGGGCUCAACCCCGGGCGUGCGGUGGAAACUGCCGGGCUAGAGGAUGGUAGAGGCGAGUGGAAUUCCCGGUGUAGCGGUGAAAUGCGCAGAUAUCGGGAGGAACACCAGUAGCGAAGGCGGCUCGCUGGGCCAUUCCUGACGCUGAGACGCGAAAGCUAGGGGAGCGAACAGGAUUAGAUACCCCCGUAGUCC
rnacentral:rRNA from 1 species